rnacentral:tRNA from 1 species
AAAUAAGAAGUAAAAUAUUUACAUUUAGUUUCGACCUAAAACAUUGGCCAAUAGCCCUUAUUUA